UACGUAGGGUGCAAGCGUUGUCCGGACUUAUUGGGCGUAAAGAGCUCGUAGGCGGUUUGUCGCGUCUGCUGUGAAAACUCAGGGCUUAACUCUGAGCUUGCAGUGGGUACGGGCAGACUUGAGUGCGGUAGGGGAGACUGGAAUUCCUGGUGUAGCGGUGAAAUGCGCAGAUAUCAGGAGGAACACCGGUGGCGAAGGCGGGUCUCUGGGCCGUAACUGACGCUGAGGAGCGAAAGCAUGGGGAGCGAACAGG
rnacentral:rRNA from 1 species